rnacentral:rRNA from 1 species
UUAACUUUGUCCAGCGGGUUAAGCCGGGAACUUUAAGGAUACUGCCAGUGACAAACUGGAGGAAGGCGGGGACGACGUCAAGUCAUCAUGGCCCUUACGACCAGGGCUACACACGUGCUACAAUGGUCGGUACAAAGGGUUGCUACCUAGCGAUAGGAUGCUAAUCUCAAAAAGCCGAUCGUAGUCCGGAUUGGAGUCUGCAACUCGACUCCAUGAAGUCGGAAUCGCUAGUAAUCGCGGAUCAGCACGCCGCGGUGAAUACGUUCCCGGGCCUU